UACGGAGGGUGCAAGCGUUGUUCGGAAUCACUGGGCGUAAAGCGCGUGUAGGCGGCUAUCUAAGUCUGAUGUGAAAGCCCUGGGCUCAACUCAGGAAGUGCAUUGGAUACUGGAUAGCUGGAGUACCGGAGAGGAGGGUGGAAUUCCUGGUGUAGCGGUGAAAUGCGUAGAUAUCGGGAGGAACACCAGUGGCGAAGGCGACUACCUGGCCUGUUCUUGACGCUGAGGCGCGAAAGCUAGGGGAGCAAACGGGG
rnacentral:rRNA from 1 species